GGACUCCUGAUGCUUACCACAGACUGUGUUCUUACACUGAGUGCAUAGAAAAAGAGAAGAGGAAGCCUACCCCAUAUACACCUCAGCACAGCCCUGUGCCUGGUAUUGUGAAUGGGGAGGCAUGG